GGGCUCUGUCGUGAUUUGCGCGCGGACACGCCUGGGCUUCGGCCUAGGGGUGCUCUCGUCCUUGCUUGUUUGUACCUUUUGUUGCUUCCUCGGCGGGAGCUUUCCCGCCGCUAGGAACCCCAAAAACACCUUGCAAUCAGCAAUCUAUUCUGAUAAAAUACCUAAAUCGUUACAACUUUCAACAAUGGAUCUCUUGGUUCUGGCAUCGAUGAAGAACGCAGCGAAAUGCGAUAAGUAGUGUGAAUUGCAGAAUUCAGUGAAUCAUCGAAUCUUUGAACGCACAUUGCGCCCCUCGGUAUUCCGUGGGGCAUGCCUGUUCGAGCGUCAUUUACACCCUCAAGCUUUGCUUGGUGUUGGGCGUCUGUCCCCGCGGCUUGCCCGCCCGGACUCGCCUCAAAGGUAUUGGCAGCGGUCUUGCCGGGCCUCCUAAUCGCGCAGCACUGUUCGCGCUUCCUGGAGCCCGCGCGAAACCAGCGUCCAUCAAGCCCCAUCUUCUGAACUUGACCUCGGAUCAGGUAGGGAUACCCGCUGAACUUAAGCAUAUCA
rnacentral:rRNA from 1 species